CACGUAGGGUGCGAGCGUUGUCCGGAAUUAUUGGGCGUAAAGAGCUCGUAGGUGGUUUGUCGCGUUGUUCGUGAAAUCUCACGGCUUAACUGUGAGCGUGCGGGCGAUACGGGCAGACUGGAGUACUGCAGGGGAGACUGGAAUUCCUGGUGUAGCGGUGGAAUGCGCAGAUAUCAGGAGGAACACCGGUGGCGAAGGCGGGUCUCUGGGCAGUAACUGACGCUGAGGAGCGAAAGCGUGGGGAGCGAACAGG
rnacentral:rRNA from 1 species